rnacentral:autocatalytically_spliced_intron from 1 species
AGGUAAAAUUUGGCUAUAUGCUGGAAUAUCUGAGAAUCUCAAACUAGUUAUUGACUAUGGAUUUUAUUCGGUUAAUACUGAAUUAAUGUCUAUUUCUUUAACUGAAAAUGUUUUGAGUGCAGACAAUCAGCAGGGAACUCGCCGUUUUGGCGAGACACCUCAGAGACUAAAUGCCAAAU